rnacentral:rRNA from 1 species
GAUGAACGCUAGCGGCAGGCUUAACACAUGCAAGUCGAACGGAGACACUCUGUUCACCGAGCGGUUGGGUGGCGAAACCAGAAGGUGACGUCGCAACAACUGCUGGGUGAACGGAGUGUCUUAGUGGCGGACGGGUGAGUAACGCGUGAGCAACCUGCCCUACAGUGGGGAAUAACACACCGAAAGGUGUGCUAAUACCGCAUAAUGUAUCCGGAGGGCAUCCUCUGGAUACCAAAGAUUUAUCGCUGUAGGAUGGGCUCGCGUCCGAUUAGAUAGUAGGCGGGGUAACGGCUCACCAAGGCGACGAUGGGUAGCCGGCCUGAGAGGGUGAACGGCCACACUGGGACUGAGACACGGCCCAGACUCCUACGGGAGGCAGCAGUAGGGAAUAUUGCGCAAUGGGCGGAAGCCUGACGCAGCGACGCCGCGUGAGCGAAGAAGGCCUUCGGUCGUAAAGCUCUGUCCUUGGGAGAAGGCGAAGCUUGACGGUACCAAG